UCCCUAUGUAGUACACUACUUUAGACCACAGUAGUAUGGGCUCUGGUCAAGAGGCGCACUAUAUACGAAAUAGGGUGCCAUUUGGAACAUAUUCCUAGGAUACUAUGAGGUAACAGAAUGUAGAUGAACCCCUAGGUUACUAUGAGGUAACAGAAUGUAGAUGAACCCCUAGGUUACUAUGAGGUAACAGAAUGUAGAUGAACCCCUAGGUUACUAUGAGGUAACAGAAUGUAGAUGAACCCCUAGGUUACUAUGAGGUAACAGAAUGUAGAUGAACCCCUAGGUUACUAUGAGGUAACAGAAUGUAGAUGAAUCCCUAGGUUACUAUGAGGUAACAGAAUGUAGAUGAACCCCUAGGUUACUAUGAGGUAACAGAAUGUAGAUGAACCCCUAGGUUACUAUGAGGUAACAGAAUGUAGAUGAACCCCUAGGUUACUAUGAGGUAACAGAAUGUAGAUGAACCCCUAGGUUACUAUGAGGUAACAGAAUGUAGAUGAACCCCUAGGUUACUAUGAGGUAACAGAAUGUAGAUGAACCCCUAGGUUACUAUGAGGUAACAGAAUGUAGAUGAACCCCUAGGUUACUAUGAGGUAACAGAAUGUAGAUGAACCCCUAGGUUACUAAAAGCUAGACUAAUGUAGAUGGAAGUCAGAUGUUUUGUAUUGGAGCACAUUUACAUGGUAGGUUAUCUAACGUGAUAAUAAUUUUUUUAAAUGAAUGUAUCGGUUCCCACUUAAUUUACAGUGUUAUGUAUUGAUA